rnacentral:rRNA from 1 species
AUGAUUCGUGGGACGUCCUGCCGGUGGUGGCGAGUCGAAGGCGUGCUCCCGUCGUGGUUUCCACGUCGGUUCUUGCGCGCCCGAGGCGGACCCCGAUGAAAUCCUACCGCGGUGCUCUUAAUCGAGUGUCGAGGUGGGCCGGCACGUUUACUUUGAACAAAUUAGAGUGCUUAAAGCAGGCCUGUUGCGCCUGAAUACUGUGUGCAUGGAAUAAUGGAAUAGGACCUCGGUUCUAUUUUGUUGGUUUUCGGAACCCGAGGUAAUGAUUAAUAGGGACAGGCGGGGGCAUUCGUAUUGCGACGUUAGAGGUGAAAUUCUUGGAUCGUCGCAAGACGGACCGAAGCGAAAGCAUUUGCCAAGUAUGUUUUCAUUAAUCAAGAACGAAAGUUAGAGGUUCGAAGGCGAUCAGAUACCGCCCUAGUUCUAACCAUAAACGAUGCCAGCUAGCGAUCCGCCGAAGUUCCUCCGAUGACUCGGCGGGCAGCUCCCGGGAAACCAAAGCUUUUGGGUUCCGGGGGAAGUAUGGUUGCAAAGCUGAAACUUAAGGAAUUGACGGAAGG